rnacentral:rRNA from 1 species
GAUGAACGCUGUCUACAGGCUUAACACAUGCAAGUCGAGGGGAAACGACGGGGAAGCUUGCUUCCCCGGGCGUCGACCGGCGCACGGGUGAGUAACGCGUAUCCAACCUGCCUCUGACUGAGGGAUAACCCGUCGAAAGUCGGCCUAAUACCUCAUGGCAUCGUCUGCGGGCAUCCAACGACGAUUAAAGAUUUCAUCGGUCAGGGAUGGGGAUGCGUCUGAUUAGCUUGUUGGCGGGGUAACGGCCCACCAAGGCUACGAUCAGUAGGGGUUCUGAGAGGAAGGUCCCCCACAUUGGAACUGAGACACGGUCCAAACUCAUACGGGAGGCAGCAGUGAGGAAUAUUGGUCAAUGGGCGGGAGCCUGAACCAGCCAAGUAGCGUGCAGGAUGACGGCCCUAUGGGUUGUAAACUGCUUUUAUGCGGGGAUAAAGUGAGGGACGUGUCCUUCAUUGCAGGUACCGCAUGAAUAAGGACCGGCUAAUUCCGUG